rnacentral:rRNA from 1 species
UACGUAGGGGGCAAGCGUUGUCCGGAUUCAUUGGGCGUAAAGAGCGUGUAGGCGGCCAGGUAGGUCGGUUGUGAAAACUGGAGGCUCAACCUUCAGAGGUCGACCGAAACCAUCUGGCUAGAGUCCGGGAGAGGAGAGUGGAAUUCCUGGUGUAGCGGUGAAAUGCGCAGAUAUCAGGAAGAACACCCGUGGCGAAAGCGGCUCUCUGGAACGGUACUGACGCUGAGACGCGAAAGCGUUGGGAGCGAACAGG